rnacentral:rRNA from 1 species
UACGAAGGGGGCUAGCGUUGUUCGGAAUUACUGGGCGUAAAGCGCACGUAGGCGGAUAUUUAAGUCAGGGGUGAAAUCCCGGGGCUCAACCUCGGAACUGCCUUUGAUACUGGGUAUCUUGAGUAUGGAAGAGGUAAGUGGAAUUGCGAGUGUAGAGGUGAAAUUCGUAGAUAUUCGCAGGAACACCAGUGGCGAAGGCGGCUUACUGGUCCAUUACUGACGCUGAGGUGCGAAAGCGUGGGGAGCAACAGG